rnacentral:lncRNA from 10 species
UUAUGAUUGAAUUUGCUAAUAAAAUAUUUCAUUGAUUCUAAGAAAUAUAAUUUUUUACAACUUUAAAAUGAGGAGGCAUCUUAUAAUCAACCCUUCUUUGAUUUGCAAAUCUAUAAAGGCAAGGACAGCUUUGUCAUGGUGAGCUACUUCUUGCAGGAGUCAGGAUCCACAUCUGCAGACUAUAGAAAGACAAACAACACAGAUUAAAAGCACAAUCAUCAUUGAAAUUACAGGGCUUCCAAGUGUUUUUAUCCAUUUUAAUGGAUUACUAGCUGCUAAUCUGUCUGCAGCUCCUUUAAGCACUCCAGUUCUUGGCAUUAAGGUCAGGUGUCCCUGGGAUGCUUUGAAUAUUUGUUCUUUUAAUUUUGCUAUAUCCAAAAACAAGUUUGUAGAGUGUCCUUCUAGACGCUUUUUUAUUCUUUCCCAAAUUUUGAUCUUGUUAAGAGCUAUUAAUAGUUUCCACAAAUCCUUAAUGUUUAGCUCCUAGAGCGGGCCAUAUCAUUUGAGGUUGAGGUGCCACUAUACCACCAUGGUUCUAGAUAAUAGGAACUCUUGCCGUACUUCUUAUUAUAUCUACCACCUGAACAUUUUGUUGAGACCAUCUGAACAUAAGUAUGGCAUGGCACACAGACUGAGAAGUGCAAUUCAAGCUAAACAUCCCCUUAGGGGACCAAUUAAUAAUGAUUCCAUAGGAAUCAUUGUGCAGCACCUCUGCCUGUUCUGCAAUGCAAUCUUCCUAAACAAGU